UUUUGUGUCUUUAUUAGGCUAAUAUGAUUAUCAUAUGUCAACAAUUAAGAAAAUAAUUUUCAAAAAAAAAAACCUGCGAAAGAUUCAGCUAUCUGGGUGUAGCUAGUGAAACAAGAUUGAUUGCUUCAGUGAAUUGUUUUACUGUCGAGGGACUUAAAUAACCCAUUUAACAUUACACGAGAACGGACUCCUUCUGGACCGUUUGCGGCGUCUCUUCCCUCAGAUCACAGAGAGGAAAUCAUCAUCUUCAUCAUCAUCAUCAUCAUCAUCACACGGACUCAGAUGUCCCGCGGCGCUGCGUCGGUGAAAUUGGAUAUUUAAGGCAGCGCAGAAAGCAGUUCACAUUCACUCUCCGCGGCGCGCGGCCAGAGAGACGCUCUGCAACUGACUGACAGAUAAUAUGAGACUACAGUCUUGAGAACGAACGACGCUCCAUAACGUGACCGGGAGGAGAACGAGGUACACGGACUCUGUGAGUCCUCGGUGAACGCGGAGGCUGCUUGAGGAGGACGGUGGAUGACCGCGAGCGCUCACUUCAGAAGAGCGCGUGUCACUGAACUCAGCUGCAGCAAGGCAGCAGAAGCAGAAGAGCUGAAGGUGACCUGUGGCUGGGCCGGGGGCUGCAACACAGGACAUGGGAGCUGCCUCUCACUCCCGCUCGUGUCUUGUGUUGCAGCCAGUGGAACUGCUGCACUGUCCACAUCAGAGAAGGAAGGAAGCAUCGCGCUCUGGGAACAUUACACCAUCUUACAGUUGCUGUCUGUCAAAUCUUUGCUCCUCUCAUCUUCUUCUAAAAGGAAAACACAGAGCUGAUAAUGACAUCAAACAGGCUUCCAUAUCGACUGAUCGUCCCAGUUGUCAUCGUAAAACAUUAAACACUCGGAGUGGAAAGAAGACUGCGGGAGGGGCAGCGGAAACACGGGGAGGUGAAAUGGAGGACAGGGAAACCAGACAAGACUGAUAUUGGUGCGAGCGCUGGGGAUGUUGGUUUGAUGGCCAACAACCAUGAAAGCACCUCAGCGUGCAGCAGCACUGAAGGAUUUCAUUGUACUCGCUUUUGAUAAAUAUGAGGGGGAGUGAAGCCAGGAACAAUUCCAGCAGUGUUAUCAGGAGCAAACAGGCAGAGUCAUGGGGCCCCAUCUGCAGGAACGAGAUCGCAGCCAUGUUGCUCACUUUCCUGCGCGAGCGUGGACAGGCCGUGACUCAUUCAGCUGGCAGAGGGAAGCCGAUUCUCCAGAGCAUCUCCUAGACUGCCAACUUAUUUAUUGAUAAAGACAAGUGACCCUGUUUAAACAGGCAGCAUCAUCUUUCCUUAUUUUCACUCCACAAAUAUAACCCAUGUUUAUGUCCAUUUAUAUAUAAAUAUAUAUUUUACAUGUAUAGAUAUUAAUAUAUAUGUAUAAUAUUUUAGAAUAUGGAUGUAUAUUUAUCAAUAUAAUGUAAUUGUUAAAAUAUAUGGGGGAAAUUCAGGUUAAUUGGGAUAUUCAGUCAUCAUCUCAAUAGCAAAAAGUAUCCUAAUUUACCUGAAUUCACCCUAAUAAUAACAAUACAUAAUGUAGAAUAUAUGUGUGUGUGUGUGUGUGUGUGUGCAGUGACAACAGUGUGUNUAAAUGAAAAUAUAUAAUAAAUUUUUUUAAAUAAAAUAAAUAUGUAGCCUA
ensembl:lncRNA